GUUAUCAAUCAAAGCUACUAUAAACUAUUGUAAUGACUAAUGAAUUCGUAAAAUACUCAAUAAGUUGUUAAUGGUAAUUGAUCAAAACUUAUUGAUAAUGAAACUAAAAGUGCAAAUAGAGAAAAAAAAAAGUUUAGAAUUUUAAGGAGUAAGUGCAUAGAGAAUUGGAUUUUUUGGGGAGUAAUGGAGGACAGAUGGGUGAUGUUAAAAGUGAGGUGGACAAGUUGGACCCACAACAAGAACACAAGCGGCGUCGUUAAUGGCCGUCCGAUUGUUUUCAAUCUGACGUCAUCAAACCCUCGUUUUUAUUUUGGUUCCCCAUUGCGCGGGAAAUCUUAUUCGUUGUUGGAAGGGUAAAUAUGACAUUUCACUCUGGUACUUUUUCCUGGGUUUGGGACCUCACUUUCCAGAAUUAUUUCGUUUUAAAAAAAACAAUUAAUUUGGGACCACCACGAGUUUUGAAAACACUCUUGUAAAUCUUCUUUUAUUAUUAUUGCAGAAAAAAAAAAUGUGUAUUUGGUUUUUUGUCGUUUUUGGGCCACUUGAGAGAAUAGUAAUGAAUAAGAAAAUAGUCGUGAACUAGCAGAGAUACUAACCAGUAAUCACUAAAUUGGCGGGAUUCAAUCCAUAUGCUCUUGUGAUCCAUUGAUCCCCCCGUCCCACCGUCAGCUUGACUCCUCUCUUCUAUCGGAAUAAUAUUUUCGCCGCUAUUUGACUCUGUUGUAGUCGGAGACCUUCUUUAGGUCAUAGGCGGAGCUUCCAAUUAGGAGAUCGGGUUAAGAUGUGAAGAUUUCUUGAAGUCUUCUUAGGGGUUUUUCUCAGACGGAACCGGUGGUCCUCAAUCUGAUCUGCAAAAGCGAAAUCUGUAGAAGGAAGGCGGUGGUGGAUGAUUGAAGCCGGCGGCGGAGUUUGCACCGGAUCGUGGAUCUCGGGCGGCACCGUUCGUGUAUCUCUCUCCUUCUCGCGUCUCAACACGGCGUCUCAACACGUGUUGUACACGCGGCACCCUUUUUUUUAAUCUCAUCAAUUUAGGUUUGAUUAAGCAGAGUUAAUGCUAAUUAGGGUUGUAAACGUAGGAGUUUGGGCUUCUUCUGUACACCGCUUGUUUAGCCCAUUAGGCUCUUAUCAAUACAGCAGUUGGCCGACAAAAAAAAAAAAAAAAAAAAAAA